rnacentral:rRNA from 1 species
GACGAACGCUGGCGGCGUGCCUAAUACAUGCAAGUCGAGCGCAGGAAGCUGACGGAACUCUUCGGAGGGAAGGCAGUGGAAUGAGCGGCGGACGGGUGAGUAACACGUAAGGAACCUGCCUUAAGGAUUGGGAUAACUCCGAGAAAUCGGAGCUAAUACCGGAUAGUUCAACGGACCGCAUGGUCCGCUGAUGAAAGGCGCUUCGGCGUCACCUUGAGAUGGCCUUGCGGUGCAUUAGCUAGUUGGUGGGGUAAAGGCCCACAAAGGCGACGAUGCAUAGCCGACCUGAGAGGGUGGUCGGCCACACUGGGAAUGAGACACGGCCCAGACUCCUACGGGAGGCAGCAGUAGGGAAUCUUCCACAAUGGACGAAAGUCUGAUGGAGCAACGCCGCGUGAGUGAUGAAGGUUUUCGGAUCGUAAAACUCUGUUGUAAGGGAAGAACACGUACGAGAGGAAAUGCUCGUACCUUGACGGUACCUUACGAGAAAGCCACGGCUAACUACGUGCCAGCAGCCGCGGUAAUAC